rnacentral:rRNA from 1 species
GCAUAUCAAUAAGCGGAGGAAAAGAAAAUAACAAUGAUUCCCUCAGUAACGGCGAGCGAAGAGGGAUAAGCUCAAAUUUUAAAUCUGUUGGGUUCCAUCUAACAGAGUUGUAUUUUGAAGAAACGUUUUCUGCGUCCCGGGUUAGCCUAAGUCCUUUGGGAUAAGGUAUCAUGGAGGGUGAGAAUCCCGUUCAUGGUUAAUCUUGAGGAUGCUCUACGAUACGUUUUCCAAGAGUCGAGUUGUUUGGGAUUGCAGCUCAAAAUGGGAGGUAAAUUUCUCCUAAGGCUAAAUAUUGGCGAGAGACCGAUAGCGAACAAGUACCGUGAGGGAAAGAUGAAAAGAACUUUGAAAAGAGAGUUAAACAGUACGUGAAAUUGUUGAAAGGGAAACGAUUGAAGUCAGUCAUACCAACGGGAAAUCAACCUUUUGAGCUUUGUCUCCUGGGUUCGAAGAGUUUUAAACGCCUUCGGGUUCGAGAGAUUGGGAUCUUCUGGUGUACUUUCUCGCACGGUUAGUCAACAUCGGUUUUGAAUGUCAUAAAAUGACUGGAGGAAUGUAGCUUCGAUCUCGUAUCGAAGUGUUAUAGCCUUUGGUAGAUGUGAUGUUUGAGACCGAGGAUUGCAACGGGUACCCUUCAUGGGCUAUUCGUCUGAUCUCUGAUACGUUGCCUUGACGUUGAAAGCUUGCUUAUGAUGUUAGGGUAUUACGGUCAAAAGGUUAGAACGGAUUAAAUUCGUUAAGGAUGUUGACGUA